rnacentral:rRNA from 1 species
CUCAUCAUAAAUUUUGAUAAUCUCGAGGUGAUUGAACCAUAAAUAAUGGCUAACGGUUAACAGGAGGCGGCGGCAGUUUUCGAUGAUUGCUAUUUUUUAGCUUGUGAUUUUUCUAUUUGUAGGUUUGAACAUUGUAAUAGAGAAGCAAAUAAAGUUGCGCACGAGCUUGCUAAAUUGGCUAGAUUUUCCUCUAUUAUUGACUGGUUUGAGGAGCCUAUGUAUGAAAUUGUACCUUUCCUCACGAACGGUGUAUCUGUUAUAUCAGUUGAAUAA